ACCAAUCUUUGAAAUUUUAACCACGAACUACGAGGUUUUGAUCCUCCUUUGUGAUGGUAUGUAGGUAAUGGGUUCAUCCAUUCAAACAACAAAAAUUUGUAAAUAUAAUCUAUUCUCUUCUCAUCCCUCCAAUCUUUUGCUGAAAUCUUUUCACAAAUACCAACCUACAACACAUAUUUGCAAAAAGAGGUUCCCUUAGAGUACUAAGGAUGUUUUGGGUGCGUAAAAUCUUCCCAUUUCAUAACCAACCCCCUUACCUAGAUCUAUGACAUUUUUAUUAGUUUUU
rnacentral:lncRNA from 1 species